rnacentral:lncRNA from 1 species
AUACCACACGCUGGCCCAUCAUUUCCUUCUGGUUACCCAGGUGUUCCAAAAGAUCCCCCUCCAGUGAUACACUCCGUUCUCCAGGGCUCAGAUCUGAAAGUGUAGCUAUGUUACCUGGGAGAGAUGACAUGAACACACCAUUUUCCCAAGCAGGGCAACCAUCAAGGUUUACUCUGAUGGAUACCCUGACUGGUCAAUGGGCAGACAGGCCACCACCCCCUCCCCUCUGGAAACAGGUGGCACACACAGAGGAGAGUUACAUCAGAGUGCAGGGCAGGACAAAGGGGACCAGCAAGAAAUGGAGAGGCACCUGGGGUCAGCCCUUGCAGGAAGCCCUGACCACUCCCAAACUGAAUGGGAAAAGCGGGACAGGUGCUGUUGGACCCCAGAGACAGCUGGGGCAUGGAAAGAGGCUCUGCUUUCCAGAAGCUGUGGGCAGACAGCCAUGACCAGACCUGCAGUGGAGCAGGACCCUACAUGGCAAAAGGCUUGGCAGACGUGAC